UGGGGAAUAUUGGACAAUGGGCGCAAGCCUGAUCCAGCCAUGCCGCGUGAGUGAAGAAGGCCCUAGGGUUGUAAAGCUCUUUCAACGGUGAAGAUGAUGACAGUAGCCGUAGAAGAAGCCCCGGCUAACUCCGUGCCAGCAGCCGCGGUAAUACGGAGGGGGCAAGCGUUGUUCGGAAUUACUGGGCGUAAAGGGCGCGUAGGCGGUCUGUUGCGUCAGGUGUGAAAGCCCCGGGCUCAACCUGGGAGGUGCACUUGAUACGGGCGGACUGGAAUCCGAGAGAGGAUGGUGGAAUUCCCAGUGUAGAGGUGAAAUUCGUAGAUAUUGGGAAGAACACCGAUGGCGAAGGCAGCCAUCUGGCUCGGUAUUGACGCUGAGGCGCGAAAGCGUGGGGAGCAAAACAGGAUUAGAUACCCUGGUAGUCCACGCCGUAAACGAUGUGUGCUAGCCGUCGGUCAGCUUGCUGUUCGGUGGCGCCGCUAACGCAUUAAGCACACCGCCUGGGAGUACGGCCGCAAGGUUAAAA
rnacentral:rRNA from 1 species